AUUGAACGCUGGCGGCAGGCCUAAUACAUGCAAGUCGAGCGGAUGAACGGAGCUUGCUCUUGUCUUAAGCUGCGGACGGGUGAGUAAUGCCCAGGAAUAUGACUGGUCGUGGGGGCUAACGUCAGGUCAGGGGCGCUAAUCUCGUAUCCGUCAUGAGGGUGAACGUCAUGGUUCUUCGGACCUCACGCUAUCUGCUGUCCCUAGGUCGUAUUAGCUAGUUGGUGGGGUAACGGCCUACCAAGGCAACGAUCCGUAGCUGCUCUGAGAGGCUGAUCAGUCACACUGGAACUGAGACACGGUCCAGACUCCUACGGGAGGCAGCAGUAGGGAAUAUUCGGCAAUGGGCGAAAGCCUGACGGAGCCAUGCCGCGUGAGUGAAGAAGGUCUUCGGAUUGUAAAGCUCUGUUAUUUGGGAAGAAGAGAAGUAUGAGUAUAUCUUGACGUCUUGACGGUACCUACAGAAAAAGCACCGGCUAACUUCGUG
rnacentral:rRNA from 1 species